rnacentral:rRNA from 1 species
GAGUUUGAUCCUGGCUCACAACGAACGCUGGCGGCAGGCCUAACACAUGCAAGUCGAGCGAACCUUCGGGUUAGCGGCGGACGGGUGAGUAACGCGUGGGAAUAUGCCCUUCUCUACGGAAUAGUCCCGGGAAACUGGGUUUAAUACCGUAUACGCCCUUUGGGGGAAAGAAUUUCGGAGAAGGAUUAGCCCGCGUUGGAUUAGGUAGUUGGUGGGGUAACGGCCUACCAAGCCUACGAUCCAUAGCUGGUUUUAGAGGAUGAUCAGCCACACUGGGACUGAGACACGGCCCAGACUCCUACGGGAGGCAGCAGUGGGGAAUCUUAGACAAUGGGCGCAAGCCUGAUCUAGCCAUGCCGCGUGAGUGAUGAAGGCCUUAGGGUCGUAAAGCUCUUUCGCCUGUGAAGAUAAUGACGGUAGCAGGUAAAGAAACCCCGGCUAACUCCGUGCCAGCAGCCGCGGUAAUACGGAGGGGGUUAGCGUUGUUCGGAAUUACUGGGCGUA